rnacentral:tRNA from 1 species
UGUUCUGUGGCUUAGUUGGUUAAAGCGUCGGUCUAGCGAGUAGAGAGUCAUGGGUUCGAAUCCAAUCGGAACGC